rnacentral:lncRNA from 1 species
AGAGAUACUGUUGGUGCUCGGUGCACGGAUCUGCAUAGGCUGCUGCGUAUACGCGUGUGAAGGACUGUAGGCGAGGUCCCCUGCCGGCAGAGGUAGCUAUUGUUCAACAAUCCGAGCCAGACUAAGGACCGUUCCGAGUUGAUUUCUGCCGGCUGGUCGGGCGACUCAGUGCGAGAGGUGGUUGGUACUGGUGCCACGCGCUUUGUUUGGACUGGUGAACUCAAGCUGGCAGUGGUGGCUCGCAGAGCUUUCCUUCCACGACUUUAUCACAAUAGAUUAUUGACAUUUUAUAUGAUAGGCACAAAGCGGCGAAAAUACCGUCACACCCCGUAGUACUUACAACAAUAGCAGCACCACUGGAACUCCAUUGUGCGGCCGUCUCCAGUAAUUCCAGGGGAUCCCGGGUGUAAUCCAGGCCUAUGAAGAGACGCUCGUAUUGUGGCGGACGAUCCGUCAGUCCCGAUGUGAUAUAAUACUAGCACAAGGUCGGCUUCGCUCCCUGGACGCCGGAAUCGGUUAUAAGCGCAGUCACGUGACCUGUGACGUAUGAGUGCGCUUCAACCCGACGAACUGCACUUAAAAAAAGCUAAGAGUUUUUAGCUGUGAUUCGUUUCAUAGUGGCGCUAAAACAUUUUUUCGAUAGUGAGUGUAUACAGAAUUGACGUAGAAUUAUUUAAUUGCAUGCAGUUAUAACAAACAAUGAAUAGUCUUAACGUGAGAUGUUUUGGCGUCGGGACAUAUUUCUCCACUUUUUGGGGGGAAACUGCACAGUCAUGCACUUUAACUCGACAUGCUAUGUCGAUACUAGGAGCAGUCUGUCGAUUUCGGAAAACUUAAUGAGGGUGCACUUUGGAACUGCACAUUUGACCGACAUUGUGUUUCUUUGUAUGCUUGAAGUUAUUCCUUCAUGCCGUCCAUAUGGGCACAGAGUCCAUGUCGGGCAGCGUUCGCCGGCCGCGUGAUGGCGCGGCCGGUCUGGCGCAGAUGAUCGUUCCGUGGCGCAGGUCGUUGUAGCGUCUCCUUGCUUAGAAGGUUCUGUUGUGUGGGUACAUGGCCUUGGUUGUGUCAGUGUAUGGGCGACAGGCGUUCUUUGGGUCAGCGAUAUAAUCUCAAGGAAACUUGCGAUGCCGAAGAUCCUGACAUGCCACCAGUGUGGUGCUCGCGUGCGGCACCUGCAACUGCAUCUCAAGCGAAGCCACGGUGUAGCAGACCGCUCCGCUCGCGGCCAGAUGAAAGAUGCAGCGGUCGCCGACGCCCUAGAGUCGAUGUUGCUCGACGGUCUCUGCGCCAGUGAUGGUGCGAGGAACAGUGCGUGGAAGGAAGAGGAUCUGAUCAGCCUCUUCUCCCAUUCUAAGAAAGGAUGGAGGCGGAAGCCAACACGACGGCCCUUCGGCAGGAGCGGCAGCUGAGGUCGCUAUUCAUUAUUCAACGAGGUAUGUGACACAACUGGACCAUCUGAAAUCAUGAGAAAGAGAUUGGACGACAUCGAGAAGGUUCUUCUCAAGAAGGUCCCGCAUCACACUGCCACUGUCAAGUCAGUGGUCAUUGCGCUGCUCGAGUUUGAGCGUUUCGUGAGUGUGCGGGAGGCAGAGCUUGCUGCAGAGUGGGACGCGACGAGCCAGCGUGACGAGCUCGUUUGAUCGGGACAUGGAUUCGAGUGGCAGGAGUAAGCGUGCUAGGAGGCGCGUGCUGUAGACAGUACUUACGAAGGAGGCGACGGUCAACGCUCGCUCGUUUGGCAGAAGGUGUUACCGUCACUGCGUAAUCGUCGAACUUGCGUUGUCACCGUGUGGCUUGCGAGAGCUAAAGCAUAGUGACGUAAUUGACGUGUGACACGGACGGGCUGAUUUAGAGUGGCCGGUGCCGGCGGGAGCGGCAUACGGUUCGAUGCGUUGUGUGUUCAGUUCAGUUUGUAAGGACUGCUGCUCUGGGGGAAGGGCGUACCACGUGUUUUUCUAUCCUGUGUUAAUGUCCUGUACCAUGUCUAUGGUUUAAUGAUGAAAAAAAAACUAGUAAAAAGCUCAGAAUCCGCCCGAAAAAUUGCGUGCAAAUAUAUCACGUGAAACUGAAUGGCA